UAGGGAAUCUUCCACAAUGGACGCAAGUCUGAUGGAGCAACGCCGCGUGAGUGAAGAAGGUUUUCGGAUCGUAAAGCUCUGUUGUUGGUGAAGAAGGAUAGAGGCAGUAACUGGUCUUUAUUUGACGGUAAUCAACCAGAAAGUCACGGCUAACUACGUGCCAGCAGCCGCGGUAAUACGUAGGUGGCAAGCGUUGUCCGGAUUUAUUGGGCGUAAAGCGAGCGCAGGCGGAAUGAUAAGUCUGAUGUGAAAGCCCACGGCUCAACCGUGGAACUGCAUCGGAAACUGUCAUUCUUGAGUGCAGAAGAGGAGAGUGGAACUCCAUGUGUAGCGGUGGAAUGCGUAGAUAUAUGGAAGAACACCAGUGGCGAAGGCGGCUCUCUGGUCUGCAACUGACGCUGAGGCUCGAAAGCAUGGGUAGCGAACAGGAUUAGAUACCCUGGUAGUCCAUGCCGUAAACGAUGAGCGCUAGGUGUUGGGGACUUUCCGGUCCUCAGUGCCGCAGCAAACGCAUUAAGCGCUCCGCCUGGGGUGUACGACCGCAAGGUUGAAAC
rnacentral:rRNA from 1 species